rnacentral:rRNA from 1 species
UACGGAGGGGGCUAGCGUUGUUCGGAAUCACUGGGCGUAAAGCGCACGUAGGCGGAUUGUUAAGUCGGGGGUGAAAUCCUGGAGCUCAACUCCAGAACUGCCUUCGAUACUGGCGAUCUUGAGUCCGGGAGAGGUGAGUGGAACUCCGAGUGUAGAGGUGAAAUUCGUAGAUAUUCGGAAGAACACCAGUGGCGAAGGCGGCUCACUGGCCCGGUACUGACGCUGAGGUGCGAAAGCGUGGGGAGCAAACAGG